AAGGGCGGCUACUUUUUUAAAACUCACGGGCGAGUAAGUGCACACGUGUGUUAGAUCCAGGACUAUAUAUCAGGUGUGACGCAACGUGAACAUGUCCUAGCCAACAGUCAAGGUGGGCCACAUUGAAGGUGGGCCGCAUGUAUGUGUUCUCGCAUACAUGAUCCAACCAACCAGAUCAUGUUCACGGUAGUUCCCACAUCAUAAACGGCCCAGAUCUUUUACACGUACGCCACGAUGACGCAUACGAUGAGAGAAACUAACCAAAGAGAGUAAGAUCGCCGUCCUCGAAUGCGGGGAUCUGACCGAACGGCUGUAAAAAAACCAAACAAAAAUGAGAAUAAAAAAGAA